rnacentral:piRNA from 1 species
UGGUACUACUGGAGGAUCCUGCAA